GACGCGGCCCACUGUAAAAAGGUAAGAAGUGUAGACGAAUGGGAUGAGCGUGUAAUUGACAUGGAGGGAAAGUGACAAGCAGGAAGAUGAGAGGGGAGUAUUGAACCAACGAGGCCUUUGGGGAGAAGCAGACAGAUAAGAGAGAGGACACGUUGUCAUACAGGCUGCCAUUCAGCACACUCACAAGAAUCUUAAAUCAUUGAACACAAUAGCCUGUGUAAUGACAAGGGAUUGUACUCUGCUCACACAUUAUUCAUAUAGUGUGCCCCCCCCCUUCUCCUUCAUAGAAGAACACCAACCACACCCAAUGCGCUCUUCAUCUCUCACAAUGAUUUUGAAGUGUCACCCACUCAAAGGUACGCAUUUAAAUGAACGUGACAAGAAGGCUUCUUUCACCUCCAGUUGUUGCCGAUUUGGUGUAUUUUUUUUCCGUCGAGGCACAAAGCUUCCCCUCCUCUUGUCUUUGUCCUUGUACAUAAGAGCGAGAUGAGAAGAUGAGGAGGAGCGACGUGGGUCAAAGCAUCUUUCUCUCUGGUGCCUUCGCAUUUGGCCCAGUCACAGGAUGCCGUAAACGAACUGAAUAGUUUGAUCUGCGUCACAGUGCACAAAAAGCCAGCAGUGGGAGGAAAAGUCACAAUACAAAAUGUUAAAUGAUUAAAUCAAGAACAAUUCUAUUCAGGUCAGUCAACUAGUUGCUCGCUGUUCUCAAAUCUUUCGUUGCGUCUCCCCCAUCGUUUGAAUGAGUCUCUGUGCAUGGAAAGAUGCUCACACAAACUUUGACGUUUUCCUCUCCGCCUCUGCUUAUGGUGAAGUCUUCAACAUGACUCGUGACGUGACAUCAACGACUUUGGAGCCAAUUAUGUCAGCGCAGCACGGCGGAGUGCAACUCACAAAACUGAGAACAAACUCGAGUUCAGUCAGAAUCAUCUUUCUUCAUGCUUGAAAUAUGCACACUUCCUUUUAUUCCCCCCCCCCCACGAGGCAGGAGGGAAGAACGGCGUGUCCUUACAGAGUGUCUCUGGAUGUCUGCUGGGAAUUCCGAGCAGUCACUGUGUGCAUGUUGCAUGUCCAAUAUCUUUGUUUGAUUUUCUAGUUUUCAUCCACUGUUGCAUAACGGAAGACUUGUUUGCCAAGUACUUGGGGAAGUAAAGAUUUUUGUUUUUUCUCGUGCAUUCUGGGAGCAUAUUUGCCAGUUUUCUCCUCUCUGCCAAGCUCAGUUUUAAUGCUGAUCGUUUCAAUUAUUUGACAUUCUUAACGACCUCAUUUUCCUCUUCGUAGGGCUUUGUUAUUACAGCUUGUAACAUCGCUGGCCAGACAAGAAAUGUAACCUAAAACUAGCCGCAGUAUUUGAAACAAUAUCUCUCACACACACAUGCACUGUAUUGUACUGCCUGUAUUUUUGGCAGGUAGGAUCCACAGUUAUUUGACAUAAAUUAAAAAGAUGCAAGACA